GGUACAUGGAAGUAGUCCUCCAAGUUGGAUGAAAUACGGUUUUAAUUACUUGCCAGACGGUGUUAUUUCGCCUUGUGUGUUGCAUUUUUUUCCCCUUACAUUCGGAGAGCUCGCGUCUUUAAAUUCUUACCAUAAGUGUAUGAAUGCGUAGUAACUGAAAUAUUCGGCUAAAUUUGCGACCAUUACUCUGGACUCAAUCAACAGAAGUCACUGGUACUCUGCGCCAUUCCCUGCUGAUAGUUUGAUGUUUUUCUGAAGAAAGGAGAAGUGUGAAGCCCAGAAGCUCGGAGCCCUAUACCGAGCAAACUCAACCAGGUGGCAAGACAGCAGUGGGCCUUGUUUCCCUCAACUCCAGACUUCAGACGACACAGAUUUUACUGCAAAGUGUUGAAGAUCAGACCAACACAUAGAUGCACAAGUGACGUUCACCCACCUGAAAGAAAAGAUGAAAUGAGAUGGCUUGUCCCCUGUGGCUUUACUACAAACCAACUGAUGAGAGCAGCAGCACGCACCCAGCAUUUCCCCUUCUGCCUUACAGUAUGUAACAUUCUAGGGUACUCAAAUAGAAAUGUAUAGAAGAUUAAUGAGAUGUAUCUGUAAAGCAUACAAAUUUGUGCCAACGUAAUUAGCAUAAUUUUCCCUAAAGUAGUUUAUACAGAUUCUGAUUCAUCCUAUACCUGCAGUGUGCCAUUGGAGCAUCACUUGACAUACAUCAAAUGAGGCACGCAUUACAGUAUCGAUAUAAUAUCAUAUCACAACAUUGAUACAAUAUGCAUAGCCCUAAAUAAUUCUGAUAUGAAUGCUGUUAUUGUCGCAGGAGUAAUUCCAUUGUCAG